UACGUAGGGCGCAAGCGUUUAUCCGGAAUUAUUGGGCGUAAAGAGCUCGUAGGCGGUUUGUCGCGUCUGCCGUGAAAGUCCGGGGCUCAACUCCGGAUCUGCGGUGGGUACGGGCAGACUAGAGUGCAGUAGGGGAGACUGGAAUUCCUGGAUGUAGCGGUGAAAUGCGCAGAUAUCAGGAGGAACACCGAUGGCGAAGGCAGGUCUCUGGGCUGUAACUGACGCUGAGGAGCGAAAGCAUGGGGAGCGAACAGGA
rnacentral:rRNA from 1 species